GACGAACGCUGGCGGCGGGCUUAACACAUGCAAGUCGAACGGAAACGCAGUGAGUGUUUGUUGUGCUGGAGUGCGGAAGGGGUAAGUGUCACGUGAGUAACCUGCUCUUGACUUUGGGGUAGGUUCAGGAAACUAGGGCUACUACCGGAUAGGAGCUCCUGCUGGAUUGUGGGCGGGGGAUAUUUUGGGCGGUUGGGGAUGGAUGCGCGGCUUAUCAGUUAGUUGGUGGGGGAGUGGCAUACCAACGCUUUGACGGGUAGGCGGCCGGAGUGGGUGACCGGCGACAAUGGGACUGCGAUACGGCGCAGACGCCUACGGGAGGCAGCAGUGGGGAAUAUGGCACAACGAGCGGAAGCCUGAUGAAGCAGCGCCGCGGGCGGGAUGCCGGCCUUCGGGGUGUAAACAGCUUCCGCCUGUGACGAAGCGGGAGUGACGGUAACGGGUGAAUAAGCACCGGCUAACUACGUG
rnacentral:rRNA from 1 species